rnacentral:tRNA from 1 species
GAAAAAAGUUAUAGGGGCUAUAAGGCUGGCUUGAAACCAGUCUUAGGGGGUUCGACUCCCUCCUUUUUCG